UCGAGAGUUUGAUCCUGGCUCAGGAUGAACGCUAGCGGCAGGCUUAACACAUGCAAGUCGAGGGGUAUAGUUCUUCGGAGCUAGAGACCGGCGCACGGGUGCGUAACGCGUAUGCAAUCUACCUUUUACAGAGGGAUAGCCCAGAGAAAUUUGGAUUAAUACCUCAUAGUAUGUGAGAAUCGCAUGGUUUUUCACAUUAAAGUCACAACGGUAAAAGAUGAGCAUGCGUCCCAUUAGCUAGAUGGUAAGGUAACGGCUUACCAUGGCAACGAUGGGUAGGGGUCCUGAGAGGGAGAUCCCCCGACACUGGUACUGAGACACGGACCAGACUCCGUACGGGAGCAGCAGUGA
rnacentral:rRNA from 1 species